rnacentral:lncRNA from 8 species
CACGCACUUUAAGCAAAUGACAGAAUGAAAUCCCGUAGUAGCAAGCUCUUCUCAAAAUGUCUGCAGCGCGUGUCCGGACAAGCCAUAUAACGGGAAAGCCGCCAGAAAACAGCCAGAAAACAAACACAUUAUAGGUGGUCUAAAUGAAACUAAACUGUGUAAAAGACAAAAUUGGUUUACUGACUAUUUGUAGGCUAAUAACAAUACUUACCUUUGCGGUAUUCCCACUGUAUGAAUGUCGCUCGUAGUCCUGACUUCAAGGGACGUGGUAAGAAAAUGUACACCACCACACAGGAAAAAAUAAAUCUCAACAGUGUGCGCUCCUCUGAAAAUCCCAACGUGAUAGUGCGGUCCAGAUAAAAACAGUCAAACUCCGCUUCAGGUUCUAUGCAGAAAAGAAAAAUUGAGCUUUCCGUUUGUUAAUGACACGCAUAGCCUAUACGGUAAUUUCAGUGAGUCAUUGUGGUAGCACGGUCAAUUGUGCUGAAUCUAAUUGCCGUAAUAGAGAGAAAGAAAGCGCGGAGAGAUCGGACAGCAAAGACGAGAAAUUAAGGAUGGAAAGACCAGGGCUGUUCAGUCGCGCCCCUCUCUCUCUCGCUCUCUCUCACUUUCUCCCUCUCUCUAGCUCCAGUUGCUAUUGGACUACACUAAAUGAAAUGUACAAAGCCUGCAGCCAAUGGAUUGCCGCAUUCUCUCCAUCACUGUUAACCAGCUGCCAGUAUGGACCAGUUUUGGCAUCCGUGAGGAAAGGACAGGAGGGUAGCAGGGAUCCUCUGACUGCACCUUACUGUCGCUGCCCAACGUCAUUUGGAGCUGAACAUUAGAUCGCGGGAUCGAAAUUGUGCCGCUGUCCGUGGUGCUGAAAUAAUCUCUAACCACUAUUUGCUUGUCUGUUCAGGCCAACACAUCUGAACUUUCUACACACGGAAACGUCACUAUAGUAGGCUAAUGAAUUGCCUUCAAGUCAUGUUUACCAUUUCCCCCUAGGGUUGGGUUGCCAAAUUCCUCAUAAUCACUACAACACCUCACCGCAGCAUGGGUGUCGCCAGUCAGAGGUCAGUGUGGACAGAAUCACGUACUCUGUGUCCCAAAUGGCACACUAUUCUCUACAUAGUGCACUAUUUUUGUUAGGGAUUUUGGCAAUGAAGCCCUUUAUCUACUUCCUCAGAGUCAGAUGAACUUGUGGAUAUCAUUUUAAUGUCUCUGUGUGCAGUUUGAAGGAAGUUGCCAACUAGCAUUAGCGCAAUUACUCCAAGUCUAUGGAAACAACUAGCCUUAAAGGGAUAGUUCUACCACUCUAAUUUCCUUCAUACUGGACACAAAGUUCAUCUGACUCUGGAGAAGUUGAUAAAGGGCUUCAUUGCCAAAAUCCCUAACUAUCCCUUUAAUCUCAAAGCCACUGCCAAGCACACAUUGUUUUAAAACAUAGAGGUGACAAUAGAAAUAUAAAUAUAAACAGAAAUAUAAACAUGAUCAUUCUCAUCACAUGUUAACAAUGACAUCAUUUUGUUAACAAUGACAUCAUUUCAAAAAAAAUGUUGUUAAUACAAAAUCCGAUGUGUUCUGAUAAUAAUUUUUUGCCAAUUAACUGCUGUGAAACUGAAAGUUUGCCUAGUCUGUAGACGACAACCAUUCUCUCUUCACUUUUUGAAUGUACAGUUCUUAUCUCAAUAAAACUUUUCCCCUUCCUGCAGAAUCUAUGGGAGGAGCUAUAGGAGCACGGGCUCAUUGUAAUGGCUGGAAUGGAAUGGUACCAAACACAUCAAACAAAUGGAAACAGUGUGUUUGACUCCCUAGAGUUCAUUCCAGCCAUUACAAUGAGCCCGUCCUAUAGCUCCUCCCACCAACCUCUGGUGUAUACUGUAUCUACCGCCAUACAUGGAUUCACUCACAAUAUUUGGGAUGUUUGAGUUUCUCCAUGAAAUGCAGCACUGCCAACGGCAUUGCAAACCGCAUUGUGCGUAAAUUAUAACAACUUUUUCCUUUUUUCCUAUUUUGGAGGAAUGAUAAUGUCUGAAAAAACUUCCAACAGCUGUAUCAUUUGGUUUGAGCAUUGAACACCAGACUGCACAUCAGUCUAAGUUAUAUUGAAACAGGAAUUACUUACAGUCUUGAGUUUGGGUAUCUACUUGGCUUAGUAAAUAUAUAAAUGCAGAGCUGCUAUACGAAUAUUAACGUGUCUGUUAAAUAUGAAUGAAUUCAUGAUUAAAUAAUUAUUUAUUAAA